GAUAAAAUGUUGAAUAAGUAUUAACAAUUUUUGACAAGUAAUAGAUAUAGAUUAUUAAAUUCAAAUCGAGAUCUUAAAUACGUGUCGAUUAUUCUAUUACUGUGUUAACGUGACGCUACAUGUCUACGUGAUAUAUCAGUUACAUAAACUGGUUAUCCGUAAAUUAAACAUUAGCUAAACCAGUUAAUGAGUUUCUGUAGUCAAGACUUUAUAUAUCAUAAGGAUAUACCUUAUCUUAUAUAAGAUUUAAGGGAAGGCUAGAGGAUUAUAAAUAACAGCUCUACUGUAUCAUCGUCGAAUUAAUUUUACCGAGUUAGCGUUUGAUGUUUAAUUUUCAAGAAUUAAUAAAUGCGUUGUAAAUAUCCCGAGCCUCCCGUGAGUUUCUCUAAUAUUUUUAUAUUUCAAAGGAUCAGAGUUACGUCAGUUUAAAUUAAAUAUUGUCUGCAAUUCUCUAAAAAAUAUGCAAAAUUAUGAUGGAAAUCCCUGUUUUCAAUCCGGAAGCAAAAUAAAACUCGGGGAAAGUUUAAUUUAAACAUAAUAUUAUUUCACGGUGCAUUUCGCAGUUCCAGUUUACAUCAUAAAUCAUCGCAUUUCUCGCAAUGAAAAAAUUAAAUCUAUCAAAAUUCACAAAAAACAUAAACAAUCAAUAUUUAUGAGUAUGCUUUUGACAACACGUUUGCCACAACAGUGGGUUUUUGUUCAAAUGUUUCGUAAAUUUCGAUCAAUUUCAUACAAACAAAAAUUUUAUCUAAAAAAGAGGCACUGUAUCGGUAAACAAAAAUACGAAUUAACAAUGCAAAAUACAGUGCGAAAGGAAAUGUCAGAAAGAUUUCGCUUUUCUCUUUAAAUAAACCGUCUUAAUGUCAUGACGCGUUUCUCAAGGGUGCUCGCGUAUUAAGUAUAAAGAGUGUUUUACAUUUGCAACAAAAGGCGAAUAGAAAUGAAGAGAAAUUAGAAAUGGAGAUGCAAAACUGCUUUUACAAUGUGAUUAUUGCAUAUAGCUUGUGAUAUCUCUUUUUUAUUUUUACAUUAGAUGCAGAUAUCUCAUAAGGUAACAAAAGAAAGCGGGAUAUUACACUUGGAGGGUGGUUGGUCUAAGAAGAUAAACGUGAAGGACGAGAAAGCCGUGUUGAGAUUCCGUCAGCGUGAAGAGACUAUGGUCGAAGAUGAAGAACCUCACUGUCCUGAUGGAACGUUGUAUACUGCAGAAUAACGCGAUCAACAUCUACGAAAAUUACUUUGAUGAUUUGGAACCGUCCGCACUCGUUUUUCCCCGUGUUAUAAGGUAUGUUGCAUUUUUGUCGCUAUGAAAAAAGCAGUAUUAUCAUUUUCACGAUUUUAUAAAAUUUAAUUGUAAUAAUAGAAAAAAAAUAAAAUAAAUAUACUUUUUAAUUGUGUUUUUCAAGCCCCAAUCAAAAUACUAUAGAAAUACUCUUCUUUCAAUUUUUUUAUUUCCUUACUUCAAACUCAAAGUUUAUGCUUAUGAAAUCUAAAAUGCUAGAUCUUACUUGAUUUUUUUUAACCGCAUACAUUAAACUGCAAAUCCCCGAUCGCCAAUAUCCGAGGAAUAUUCAAAGUCUCGCUUCAACGUGCCCGACGCAAGCUUCCGCGGACGAGUUAAAUCUCUCUCCGCAAAUCGCGGUCACGUACGGAAUUAUCGUACGACGCAUAUCUUCGCCAAGACUGAUGCCGAUCGUGCGACACGUUCUUGUACAGACAUAAAGGAUAGAGUCUCAUAAAUUCGGUGACGAGUUCCGCGUAUUAAAACAUAGAAAAAAAAUACCAAUAAUAUACGAGAAAAUGUUUCCAAUUAAUAUACUUGUAAUUUUUAUAGAUCUAAAAUCCAUUCUACGAACUUAUCGUCACAUUAUUCUGCAUUGUCGCGUAUUUUGUAUAAAACCCGGUAACUUAUUUAUAGAACGGGAAAUCUAUAAAUCGAUGCAACGUCUCGCGUAGACGACGAUGCUGUCAUUGAGAAGCUCGCGGGGAAACUCUCUUAUCUCGUCGGCUUUUCGUCUUUCGAUGCUUGUUUAACACAAGUUGCAAUUUUUCUCCCUCUUUUUCCUCGCACGUUCGAACACGUGUUGCGCCUCUCAGAUGCCUCACGUGAUUCUUGCGCGCGAAUUGAUCCGCUUUUCUUCCGUGUAUACUCGGUGUACCUCUAAGCAUCGCCGCCUGCGAUACAAGCAUUCGUUGCAGUUACCGAUGCAUUUCUAUAUCCGCGGAAAAAAAAAUGUGAAAACUUUAAGAAAGUACAUAAAAGAACUUUCUAGAGAAUAAAAGUUUUUAAAAAAAGCUUUUUCGGAACCAAGAAGUAGCCAGAAAAGAAUAAACAAAAAGAAACAAAAAGUUGAGUCCAACUUCAACAAUGUAACAAUUUACUAACUUACACAGAAGAAAAUAGAAACAAACUUACUGUAUUUUUGCAAUAUUAUACAAAACCGCAUUAUUUUAUUGCUUUAUCCGAUAAAUUCUCAAAAUAAAGCUGGCUAUUUUAGUCGCGGCAGGAAGAGCUCGAAUCCAGGUAGUAGAAAGACACUUUUCACUUCGAACGUUGAUGACAUCCAUACAUUUCCGCGCAUCCUAACGAAGAAUCUACGGCUGUCGUUACAAUUAAUCGCUUCGCGAAGGGUAUUACCGAGCGGACGAAACAAAAAGAACGGCGUCUGCAACGUGUAAAAGCAACGGCGUUAUCGCGUCGUCGAGCGGAUGAUUUACGUACCCGGGGAUGGGAAAAAAGAUAAAAGGAGAGAAACGAAUUUCCACGGGUGCGAUUUUGCGCGGAUUUUUGCGGAAGCUUUAAUUUUCUUUUUUUUUUUUUUCAGAACCUCAAACAUGUACGUCGAUCCACAACCUAUCGUAAGACCAAUCAAUCACCUGUCAUGGUCGCCCAAUGUACAGAAUCGAUUGGCCGCCGCUUACACUUUCAUGGAGUUCGAGACGAAACCAUCUAAUGUGAAUCCUUUCUCUUAUAUAUGGGACAUCAGUAUGAUAAUGCUCUUAUGUUAUCGCAUAACAGCAUGUA